rnacentral:rRNA from 1 species
AACGAACGCUAGCGGUGCGCUUAAUACAUGCAAGUCGAACGAGAAAGUACUUCGGUACGAGUACAGUGGCGGACGGGUGAGGAACACGUGGAUAAUCUGCCCUCAGGAAGGGGAUAACUAUUCGAAAGAGUAGCUAAUACCGUAUAAGACCACAAUCUCUGCGGAGAAAGGGGUUAAAGGCUAACGCCACCUGAGGAUGAGUCUGCGUCCGAUUAGCUAGUUGGUGAGGUAAUGGCUCACCAAGGCGACGAUCGGUAGGUGGUCUCAGAGGAUGAUCACCCACACUGGAACUGAGACACGGUCCAGACUCCUACGGGAGGCAGCAGUAGGGAAUCUUGCGCAAUGGAGGAAACUCUGACGCAGCGACACCGCGUGAGUGAUGAAGGCCUUCGGGUUGUAAAGCUCUGUGAUAGGGGAAAAUGAUGAUGGUACCCUAUCAGAAAGGACCGGCUAACUUCGUGCCAGCCGCCGCGGUAA